AUAGCCUUUCGAAAGGAAGAUUAAUACCCCAUAAUAUAUUAGAUGGCAUCAUUUGAUAUUGAAAACUCCGGUGGAUAGAGAUGGGCACGCGCAAGAUUAGUUAGUUGGUGAGGUAACGGCUCACCAAGACGAUGAUCUUUAGGGGGCCUGAGAGGGUGAUCCCCCACACUGGUACUGAGACACGGACCAGACUCCUACGGGAGGCAGCAGUGAGGAAUAUUGGACAAUGGGUUAGCGCCUGAUCCAGCCAUCCCGCGUGAAGGACGACGGCCCUAUGGGUUGUAAACUUUUUUUUGUAUAGGGAUAAACCUACUCUCGUGAGAGUAGCUGAGGUACUAUACAAUAACACCGGCUAACU
rnacentral:rRNA from 2 species